GCUUACGGCCACACCACCCUGAACGCGCCCGAUCUCGUCUGAUCUCGGAAGCUAAGCAGGGUCGGGCCUGGUCAGUACGUGGCUGGGAGACCGCCUGGGAAUACCAGGUGCUGUAAGCU
ensembl:rRNA 5S_rRNA 5S ribosomal RNA